rnacentral:rRNA from 1 species
AGGACGAACGCUGGCGGCGUGCUUAACACAUGCAAGUCGAGCGAUGAAGCACCUUCGGGUGUGAAUUAGCGGCGAACGGGGUGAGGAACACGUGAAGAAUCUGCCUUCAACUCUGGGAUAACUCCGGGAAACCGGGGCUAAUACCGGAUAUGAGCCUUGAUCGCAUGAUCGGGGCUGGAAAGAAUUUCGGUCAAGGAUGAGCUCGCGGCCUAUCAGCUAGUUGGUGAGGUAAUGGCUCACCAAGGCGACGACGGGUAGCCGGCCUGAGAGGGUGACCGGCCACACUGGAACUGAGACACGGUCCAGACUCCUACGGGAGGCAGCAGUGGGGAAUAUUGCACAAUGGGCGAAAGCCUGAUGCAGCAACGCCGCGUGAGGGAUGAAGGCCUUCGGGUUGUAAACCUCUUUUAGCAGGGAAGAAGCGAAAGUGACGGUACCUGCAGAAAAAGCACCGGCUAACUACGUG